GGACAAGCCCUGGAAACGGGGUCUAAUACCGGAUAUCACUCCUGCCUGCAUGGGUGGGGGUUGAAAGCUCCGGCGGUGGAGGAUGAGCCCGCGGCCUAUCAGCUUGUUGGUGAGGUAAUGGCUCACCAAGGCGACGACGGGUAGCCGGCCUGAGAGGGCGACCGGCCACACUGGGACUGAGACACGGCCCAGACUCCUACGGGAGGCAGCAGUGGGGAAUAUUGCACAAUGGGCGAAAGCCUGAUGCAGCGACGCCGCGUGAGGGAUGACGGCCUUCGGGUUGUAAACCUCUUUCAGCAGGGAAGAAGCGAAAGUGACGGUACCUGCAGAAGAAGCGCCGGCUAACUACGUGCCAGCAGCCGCGGUAAUACGUAGGGCGCAAGCGUUGUCCGGAAUUAUUGGGCGUAAAGAGCUCGUAGGCGGCUUGUCACGUCGGGUGUGAAAGCCCGGGGCUUAACCCCGGGUCUGCAUUCGAUACGGGCAGGCUAGAGUGUGGUAGGGGAGAUCGGAAUUCCUGGUGUAGCGGUGAAAUGCGCAGAUAUCAGGAGGAACACCGGUGGCGAAGGCGGAUCUCUGGGCCAUUACUGACGCUGAGGAGCGAAAGCGUGGGGAGCGAACAGGAUUAGAUACCCUGGUAGUCCACGCCGUAAACGGUGGGAACUAGGUGUUGGCGACAUUCCACGUCGUCGGUGCCGCAGCUAACGCA
rnacentral:rRNA from 1 species